CUCUUGGUUCGCAGCUGGGAGGGCCAUCAUGGACGGUUCUGUUGGGGAGAAGGGACUCCACCACUGCAAGCGAGGCCUUGGCAAAUACCGACCUCCCUGCCCCUUCCUCUAGCCUCGCAGAACUUAUCGGCAAUUUCUCCAGAAAGGGACUCGACGCAACCGACAUGGUUGCUCUCUCAGGUAAUCCGAUAUGGAGUAUUAUAUACGAGUAUAUAUAUAGAUAGAUUAGGAUACCAUGUAUAUAUGUGUUGCAGAUUUUCUGAUAAGAUGAGAGCGCGAUUAAUUAUUUCGCAGGAGCACACACGAUCGGGCAGGCGCAGUGCCAGAAUUUCAGGGACAGGAUCUACAACGAGACCAACAUCGAUUCCGCCUUCGCGACGCAACGCCAGGCCAACUGCCCACGGCCGACGGGCAGCGGCGACAGCAACCUGGCGCCGCUGGACACGACGACGCCCAACGCCUUCGACAACGCCUACUACAGCAACCUGCUGUCCAACAAGGGGCUCCUGCACUCCGACCAGGUGCUCUUCAACGGCGGCAGCGCGGACAACACGGUCAGGAACUUCGCGUCCAACGCGGCGGCGUUCAGCAGCGCCUUCACGACGGCCAUGGUGAAGAUGGGGAACAUCUCGCCGCUGACCGGGACGCAGGGGCAGAUCAGGCUCAGCUGCUCCAAGGUGAACUCCUAAUUAAGGAGUAGUAUGACGGGAUGCGUUCGUUGCUGGAAGCAAAUCGUGUCGACGACGACAUAAACGGGCCACACCACAUAUACCCAUAUAUGUAGUAUAACCACAAGUAUAGGUACGGUGGUGUUGUACUAGUACACGUAAAGUAUAUGGCAGCCAGCUCGCUCUAGCAAUCCAUCAAGUGUAUGGAGCAGAGCAGCCAUGGCAUUAGCACCUAGUAUACCAAAAUAAAAGCUCCUCAUGCGAAGGCAUGCAUGGAGGAUUAAUGAACUGUUACCUUCACACACAUGUCCGUUCACAACUUCUCCAGACUUUUACGGUACAUCAAGCUCCGUUUUUUCAAGUAAACAACACUAGAUUAUGUUUUUUCAUUAGAUAGAGAAAAAAUAAAUACAACCUGCCCCUAGGAGCGAAAAAAAGAAGAAGAAAAAGCCCGUCUUUACAAAUUAUAUACUGAUAGGUAAUAACUCUCUAAGUCAUUUUGUUCCUGCCAUAGUCCAAGUCUUCUUCCUCUAUUUUUGCUAGGAGGGUUAUUGUCGUGGUCUCCUUGUUAGAAAUUUUGUUGGUUCCUCUCCUUCCGUAUCUUCUAGACGACAAGGAGAAUUAGGGAGCGCAAUCCCCGCUUUGGCAUAAAUGUCGUGUUUGGCACACACAUUGAUAGGGGUGGCUAACAAGCCGACUCGGCUCGACUCGUAAAAACUCAUUAAGUUAAUGAGCUAGCUUGGCUCGACUCGUUAACAUAACGAGUUAAAAAUGGAACUCGACUCGACUCAUUAAAAAGUCCGAGUUGACUCAUUAAACGUGUUACACCAAAAAACAUGGUUUGAAAUUCAUAUGCAAUAUAAUUUGUGAUUCUAUGACAAAAAUUAUGAUUGGCGUGCUAUGUAUCAUGGCUCAUAAGAUUGUACUACAAUGUAUAAUUAUGAGUAUAUGACUUUUACACCUGUAAAAUAUGAACAAUUAACUUCUAUCUUAGUGUAUCAUGAGCUCAACGAGCUAAUCGAGUAACUCACGAGCUAGCUCGAGUUGGCUCGUUAAGUAAACGAGUAAAAGUUCAAACUCAUUAACUACUCGAGUUAAGUCGAGCCGAGCCGAGUUUUACACAAGUUGAGCUAGCUCGUAAGUUCGAUUUUUUUUCCACCCCUGCACAUCGAGCUCUGUUUCGCUAUUGAUGUUGGUUGACACGGUGAACUUUGACUCUUUGAGUAUCAAUUAUCAAACGGUGUACUCCUACCGUCUUACGUGCCAUUGCCAUCCCGCGCGGCCGCACCGUCCCAAACUCCCACCGACGCAAGCAAGCGCCGCCCUUCCGCUUGGGCCGUUUUACGCCCGAAUGGUCCGAGACCUACCUAUUGGGCCUUUGGACCGUGUGACGCCACAUUUCGCUCGCAGUGUCUGUCAGACCAGGGAUGGUGGCCCGUGGGCGCUGAGCAGGCCGGCCUUUCAUUUAGUUCGUGUCACCUGUAGGCGGCUAGGCCGGAGGGAAACUAACGUACACUUUUGUUGUUAUUUAUAACUUUAUCGACUAUAAAUUUUGAUAAGCAACAAAUCAAACAUGCCAUAAUCAAUUAGGCAAAAUUCAGUAAUUUACCUUAGCAAAAUUUAGUAAUGGAAAAAUUAGGAAAAACUAAAGUUAUAUUCCCUCCUCCUCAAAAAGAAUACAAUUUUAGAUUUUAAAUUUAUUCCAACAUAUAACGUACUCUAUAGUAUUGCUUUUUCGUCCAACCACCACUCAUUCACCCAUAUAUUACUAACCUAGCUACUCCACCAUUCCCAACUGUCCCUCAUUUGAUGAGUGGUCGAGUAUUUUUCCUAUACUAUACUAGUUUGUCUUUUAAAUAUUACAAUUGUAUUUUUCUUUUUUAGAAUUGAGGUAGUAAAUUUGUAAACAAAGUGAACAGGCCACCAACCUACUAGGUGGACCACUGUACACGAUAAUAUUAUUUGUGCUAUUGUGUUUAUUUUAAUCUAAGUUGCAAAUCAAGAGAGUAUUUUAUUUCAUUCAAAAAGGAAUAAUUUGUGAAACACUCAGCAACUGUAUAAUAUUAGCCGUGAAACUCGGUUAACCAUAAUUUUUUUUCAAAGGAACUAUACGAUAAUUUAAUUAUUUUACUAUCCGCAUUUUAUGGCUUAAGAAACAAGAGUAACAUACGGCACAUGCAACAACCACCAUUCUAGCUAGAGCUAGAAAUGUCGGCCCAACUUGUGAUAGCUAAUUACGUUCGAAUGGAAAAUCAUAUCACCAACAUGCAUGGUUUAAUCAUGGCAACGCUGAUGCGAAAGCUCUCGCAGAUCUAUUAUUUUUUCCCUGGAGAUUGAUCGAAAAUGAUGGCACAACGGUAUGUAAUGCUAUAACAGCAUAUAUUGUCUUGUAACACACCGUUUGCACUUAAAUUAGACAAUUAGUCCGAACGUACAUAAGAAGAUGAAUUGCGAUAGACCAUUCUAGCUCGUCACGAGCUGAAUAGUUCUCGCACUAUUAUACCCGAGAUCAAUUAGCAGAGUAUUAAUAAGGUAAAGUUAUUUUCAUAAACUCUGUACGACGAUAGUGCAUACAUACCAAUCUUUAACAAAGGGACAAAUUAUCGACGGCAUUUGUAUGUUCAUGUGCUAUUCUAUGGCACGGGUGCUCUUUUUUUUUGGCUUAAGCAACGCGUGAUUAAUGGUUAACAGAUUAAGGUCAAGCGAAAUGGACCGAACUGACCCUACAUUGCAUGAAUAAUGCAGAGGUGAUGAUGUUGGCCGUAGGCCGUACGUAGAAACUUAUGUUGGACACACAUGUAAGUACUAGUAGUCUAGUAGCACUAAUAAAGUUAACUAAUAAAUUAUAUAUGAUGUCACUUUAAAAAAUACAGAUUCAAAUUCGAUAUAUUGAAGUUGAACAAAUUAAAUUCUAGCUAGUUAGUAUGCACACAUUCACACUCAUAUUUGUUUUUGUGUUGUAAUUUAUAGAAGUUAAAAUUCAACUUGCAAUUUGUUAGUAAAAACAUAACUAUUUAGAUGACUAGAAACAUAUCCUUCUGUUGUAAUGUGCCAGGCUCAUAUAAGUAGAAAUAUGCUAUUAGAAAAUUAGAGAUAGUACUCUGUGCGUGGUGGGAGGAGGGAUGAAAAAAUGACGAGUUCGAUUUUAAGGUAGUAGAGAUAUGUACAAAGCAAUAGGAUAUUCCUAUUGAGAUUAAAAUACAUUCCCCUGCCCAGCUCCCCUCGUAUGAUUAAUGUACCUGCAUAUUUCGUCUCAUCUCGGCACCAAUCGAUGGCGUCAAGCCUGUAGCUAAGCUAGCUAUAUAAGAUGCAGCGUGGCACCAGCCUCUCUUGCAAGCCACGGCCAGCGAAAAAGCUUAAAAAAAACUGCAGUUAUUUAGGUAGGAUUAAGCAUACGCGCACGGCGCAUCAUAUCGCUCACUCUGCAUGGCUUCGGCUUCUUCUGUCAGCUUAAUGCUGCUCGUGGCUGCAGCUAUGGCCUCAGCCGCCUCGGCGCAGCUGUCGGCGACGUUCUACGACACGUCGUGCCCAAACGCAUUGUCCACCAUCAAGAGCGCAGUGACGGCCGCCGUGAACAGCGAGCCCCGAAUGGGAGCCUCGCUGGUCAGGCUGCACUUCCACGACUGCUUCGUCCAAGCAAGUUUUGAUCACCUAAUCUAAUCAGCUGUACAAGUAGUUCUCCUUAGACUGUACUUUGAGACAAGGAAAUUAAUAACAGAGGAUGUAUCUAUGGACUUCACUGAUGAUGCAGGGCUGUGACGCGUCUGUUCUGCUGUCCGGCCAGGAGCAGAAUGCAGGCCCGAACGCUGGGUCACUUCGGGGAUUCAACGUCGUCGACAACAUCAAGACGCAGGUCGAGGCCAUCUGCAGCCAGACCGUCUCCUGCGCCGACAUCCUCGCCGUCGCCGCCCGUGACUCCGUCGUCGCGGUAAGAUCACGGAUGAGAUUACUACAUGAUGCAUAUAUUUCUUGUAGACUGUAGUAGUACGUACUCCUAAUCGCUCUUGGUUUGGUUUGGAAUCCUUAUAUUUGCAGCUCGGAGGGCCGUCGUGGACGGUUCUAUUGGGAAGAAGGGACUCCACCACUGCGAACGAAAGCCAAGCAAAUACCGACCUCCCUGCCCCUUCCUCUAGCCUCGCUGAACUUAUCGGCAAUUUCUCCAGAAAGGGACUCGACGUAACCGACAUGGUUGCUCUCUCAGGUACAUAUAUAUGUACACAGAUUAUAUCAGUGAUUGAUUCUCUUACAAAUUUUCUGAUAAGAAUCAUAAUACGAUGAGAACUUGCAGGCGC
rnacentral:lncRNA from 1 species